CAUACCGCGUGAGGGAAGACAGCCUACUGGGUUGUAAACCUCUUUUUUCAGGGAGGAAAAAAAUGACGUGUACCUGAAGAAUAAGCAUCGGCUAACUCCGUGCCAGCAGCCGCGGUAAGACGGAGGAUGCAAGUGUUAUCCGGAAUUACUGGGCGUAAAGCGUCUGUAGGUGGUUUAAUAAGUCAACUGUUAAAUCUUGAGGCUUAACUUCAAAACAGCAGUCGAAACUAUUAGACUAGAGUAUAGUAGGGGUAAAGGGAAUUUCCAGUGGAGCGGUGAAAUGCGUAGAUAUUGGAAAGAACACCGAUGGCGAAAGCACUUUACUGGGCUAUUACUAACACUCAGAGACGAAAGCUAGGGUAGCAAAUGGGAUUAGAUACCCCAGUAGUCCUAGCUGUAAACAAUGGAUACUAGAUGUUGAACAGAUCGACCUGUGCAGUAUUAAAGCUAACGCGUUAAGUAUCCCGCCUGGGAAGUAUGCUCGCAAGAGUGAAACUCAAAGGAAUUGACGG
rnacentral:rRNA from 1 species